CGUACAAAAAUCAAUUAGGUUUUAUUAUUUUUCUUUUAACAGUUUCAGUAUAAAUAGGCAGGUUUUUACUCGAAAAAAACACACUCGUUCAAAUAGUAACGAUAUUAGCAAGAUGAAUUCUAAACUUUGCAUUGUCCUUGUUGUAUUUGCCCUUUUGGCAAUAUUGGGUUCCGCAAUGGCUGAUCCACAAUUGGGAGUUUUAGGACAGGUGAAAGAAUUGGGUGACAAAAUUCUUAGCACUGCCGGAGCACACAACAACGAUGCCGAAGAUGUACAAACACUCCAUGCUCAUCGUGGAUAGAAACUGCUGUUAUGUAUACAUUAUAUCUGCUUUGUAUUAUUUUGAAUCUCCAUUUUAAUGGCAUUGCAAUAAAAACAGUUUGUUGAAGUUCUUGAAAAUUAUUUUUAAUACAAUAACUUCUGCUUUUGUAUAUAUAUUUAUGGAACAGUAAACUCGGGUAUUUUUC